rnacentral:misc_RNA from 1 species
GAAUGAUAUAAACAUCACCAUGAUCAAGGAAUAUCACGGCCCAGUGAUGAGAGUUGACCCGGGGAGGUCGAAUCCACUAAAAACGGUGAUCUACGAAACAUAUCAGGACACCAGAAUCUUUGUGAUCCUGGGCGACCCCUUUGAAUACCACAUUUUCAUGAAUCUUUUACAAGAACAAGGGAUUCUAGAUUCCGGAGAGUAUUUCGUUGUUGGUGUUUAUAUUGACGAUUUCCAGAUUAAUGAUUCGCAAAAGUUUCUCAAAGAUAUCUACAAUGACAAAAACAAACCGGUUGACGAACAAACGAGGAAGGCAUUCCGAUCUUUUCUUGGAGUUAUCCAGUCCCCACCAGUGUAUCCAGACUAUAACAACUUCACCACAUUAGUGAACGAGUACGCGGAAAAACCUCCUUUCAACUUCGUCAAUAUUUUCAAGAACAGAGGAGUGACACUGAUCAUUCCGUCCGAGGCAGCCUAUUUAUAUGAUGCUGUGGGUCUGUACGCACGAGCGGCCCACCAGGCCUUAUUAAAAGGCCAGGAUAUCUCGGAUGGAGGAGUCAUCUUUGAGUAUAUAAAGGGAGCAACCUAUAAAAGUGCUAUGGGGUACAUGAACCGGAUUAAUGAGAACGGGGAAUGUGAGGGUAACUAUUCGGUCCUUGUUAUGAGACAAAGACCUCAAGCCCCAACCACGAUCUCGAACGCCAGCCAGGAAGUCCAAUGGGAAAUGUGGCCAGCUGGGAACUUUAUAAUGAACCAAAAUUCAUCUCUCAUUCCGACAAUGGAACUGUUCUCAAAUGACAGUAUUCUCUGGGUGUCAGGAAAGCCCCCAGUUGACGAACCAAAAUGCGGUUUCAGAGGAGAGAAGUGCAUCCCUCCGCCAUCAUAUACAUGGGAAAUCGUUUGCGGGAUUGCAGGCGGACUGCUUCUACUUAUCAUUAUAAUCAGCACGGUUGUGUAUAGAAACUGGCGCUACGAGCAAGAGUUGGCAAGCCUUCUCUGGAAGAUUGACUUUAAGGAUAUUAUGUUAAAGGACGGGGCUGCAUCCUUACACACGGGCUCCGGCGCCUGGAUGGGGAGCACGAUGAAUAAGAUGAGUGUGAGUAUGCGAGCCAGCAACCUGUCAAUAGGCAUUUACCCUGGAUUUGACGGUGACACUGAUAUACGACAAGUCUUUACCAAGAUAGGGACGUACAAGGGAAACAUUGUAGCCAUUAAGAAAGUUCGCAAAAAACAUAUCGAUCUCACAAGAAAUACUCGCAAGGAGCUAAAAGACAUACGUGAUAUUCGACAUGACAACAUGACGAUGUUCAUUGGCGCAUGCGUAGACCCGCCAAAUAUCUGCAUUAUCACGGAGUACUGCCCGAAAGGCAGCUUACAGGAUAUACUGGAGAACGAUGACGUGAAGUUAGACAAUAUGUUCAUCGCCUCACUCGUUAAUGACAUAAUCAAGGGCAUGGUUUAUUUACACGACUCUGAAAUACGUUACCAUGGAAACCUGAAAUCGUCUAACUGCGUUGUUGACAGCCGAUGGGUUUUGAAGAUCACGGAUUUCGGUUUACACGAGUUUAAAAACGGUGCUAAACACGACCUCGGAGAGCAUGCAAAGUACAGGAAUUUACUAUGGCGAUCUCCGGAGCUUCUACGCACGCGUAAUGUGUGGGGAACACAGAAAGGAGACGUGUAUUCUUUUGCCAUAAUAAUGUAUGAAGUACAUGGCAGAAACGGGCCGUUUGGAAAUUGUACACUGCCCCCAAAAUACAUAAUUCAUCGAGUAAUGCAACCGACAUCAGAUGGGAGCGUCCCCUUCCGUCCUAAACUGAGCGAGCUGGACACGACGCCAAAGUACAUCACGGAGACCAUCCAGUUGUGUUGGAGCGAGAAUCCAGAUGAGAGGCCCGAUUUUAAGAGUAUUCGUCAACAUCUGAAGCCUAUGCAACGUGGAAUGAAAUCUAACAUAUUUGACAACAUGAUUGCUAUUAUGGAGAAGUACGCCACUAACUUGGAGACCAUUGUUGAAGAGCGCACCGGACAACUGGUGGAGGAGAAAAAGAAAACAGAAGAAUUGCUUCAUCAGAUGCUUCCAAAAUCUGUUGCCGAGCAACUUAAACUUGGCAAGCAGGUGGAGGCUGAAGCCUUUGACAUGGUGACCAUAUACUUUAGCGACAUAUGUGACUUCACAGCUUUGUCCUCUCAGAGUACACCUAUGCAGGUUGUUAACCUGUUGAACGACCUUUACACCUUGUUUGACGGUAUCAUCGGCCACUAUGACGUGUACAAAGUGGAAACGAUAGGGGACGCCUACAUGGUGGUCAGCGGCCUUCCAAAGACAAACGGUAUAAACCACGCUGGGGAGAUCGCAUCUCUGUCGCUAGCGCUGCUGGACGCUAUUUUGAAGUUUCAGAUACGGCACCGCCCAGAUCAUACGCUCAUGCUAAGGAUAGGCAUACAUUCAGGUCCUUGUGUGGCAGGUGUGGUAGGGCAGAAGAUGCCGCGAUACUGUCUUUUUGGUGACACCGUCAACACGGCAUCUAGAAUGGAGUCCAAUGGGAUGCCUCUUCGUAUUCACUGUUCCGCCAGUACAAAGGAACUCUUGGAUCAACUUGGAGGAUAUUCCAUUCAGGAGAGAGGGCAGAUUGAUAUAAAGGGCAAAGGAAAGAUGCACACCUACUGGGUAGUUGACGAAGACAAAGGGAGGCGAGAGUCCAGAAUCUCGUCCUGUUCUGACGAGAGCUCACGCCAGAAAGGCAAAAUAUCCUCGGAUUCCUACGAAUCUCGUGACAGUAUAUUCACAAAUUCAACGGACACCACCCUGCUUUUACCAAUGCACGCUCGGGGCAGCUCCACGCCUGUCAGUAUGAUUUCUAAACCGAACGGAAAAUUAAAGCCGAAGAAAGUCGCCAUGGGAGGUACUUUGCCAGACGCUGCAACCAAGAGAAAAGUCUCUCUGCCUCCCAUUAAGGGUGUCCUUGCAGCUACACAUGUCUCACCACUGCAAAAAUUGAAGCCAAACAUCAAGCUGAAGCGCCCCACGCUUCACCAUAGAUCCCGUUCUGAUGAUAUAAUUGGUAUCAAUGAUCGGAAUGGGAUCAAUCGAUCUAAGGAUCCUGAUGAUGUGGAGUACGAGGAACCUAACAAAGCAGCUCGUUUGGAUGCAGAACCGCUGUUGGAGGUCCCUGAUUCGCCUGUGCAUAACCCGCUUUCUAAAAGUAUGGAGACCAUACUCUGAUAGGCUCACUUUAUCAUACUUUUUUUCCCCCUUGGCGGGUCGACUUUAUUUCCAUCGGGAUUUUCAGUCAGUGACAUAUAAGCAUGGAGAGGACCCCGUCCCCACCCUAAAACCUCCCAGCUGGAUUACUUUGUUGGGGGGUGGGGCGUUGGGGAAGGUUAAAUGUGCAAAGGUCUACUAUAUUCUUAAGCCACCAUUGUUUAAAAAAACACAUGCGUAUGGAAAGGUGGAAAUAUGUUAUAAUAUGCGGCUGUAUUUACACUGUGCUGUUCUGUUCAUCAUGGCAAUCAUAAAAACCUUUAUUUAGAGAACUCGACGAAUAUUAACUGUCGUUUAUGUACAUGUAUCAAUCUUAUGGCUAUCGUCUCUCCUGCAUCAGUUUUGUCACGCAAACUGCCUCAGUCCAUCUUGUUAAAAUUGACAGAUGAAAUGGUCUCUGCGGAGCCUAUUUUUCUGUCGUGAUCCUGUGCAAGAUCCUUCAAACUGACCUCGGGCAUUUGAACAAAGAGCAACGUUGCGGGUACUGAUACAGUGUACAUACAUCGAAACCGUAUAAAUUCACUACCUAAGACUUUGUGAAUUUCUGUUGAAAAUGAGUGAGGGGAAAGUAGUAAGGCAUAUAUUAACUUGACAUCUUGCAUGGAUAAAUUUGUAAUGUAUAACGAGAGUGUAUGAUAGUGAUUCAUUCGAUGUCGUUGUGUAUUAUUUUGAAGUAAUUCGAAAAAGCCUUUUUUCAUAAGAUCUAUUCUAUUGCCAACAACGUUUAUUGCUUCAUAGACAUUCACUGUCAUUUGCAGACAUUAUUUAACCAUGUUAUCUAUUGCUGUACCAAUAAGUUUGCGCAAUCGACUGUCUGGCAUGCUGUAGAAGGGAAGGACAACGCCAAUACAACACACAACUUGAAAUAAGGCGUGAUCACGAAUGGAACUUAGAACUCUGACCACAUAAUCACGGAUUGAAAAUCACGGUGUCAUUUGUCUCUCGCUUUGUCCAUCUGUUAAAAAUAUACAAAGCUUCUGCUAUCUGAAACUACAUGUUGCGCCCGAUGCUCUCAUCGUUUACUAAUAUCAGCCCAUGCUAAACGGAGGUCUUCAUUACCAUACCAGUUAGUGUAAAGUGUUCACAUUUGAUUAAGAUCAUGCUACAGCGAUUUGGGCCACCGCUCCUCGUUAGAUAUGAUAACGAGCUGAUAAGUGGUUCAAAGGAUCAAUCUCAAUAAAAGCUGUACGAAGUGAUACAGAUAAAGACUCCCAGUCGUAUUCAUGGUAUUGAUUUGUGGAAAUAACACAGUAUUUUACCUGUAAUGUUAUAUUCCAGAGGACCCCACCCACCACACGAAAAAUGAAAUAGUUCAUCCCGUCACAACUUCCCAAAUAAAUGAAGAAAAUAACCACUCAGCACCCCACAGAAUCAUACCACACGUUUCAAUUAUCCACAUUACUGAUACCCUAGAUCCGCCCUUGUGUUGCAUGUAUAACUGUUAAGGCUCAAUAUUAAAAGGGAUGUGCUAAACGAUUUAAUUGCGAAGAUAAUGACCUCGCUAUUAAUCUGUGAGCGAGAGUUGAUCAGUUAAUUGAGGAUGAGUUAACACCUCCUUCAUGUAGAUAGAACAGGGUGAGUAAUCGUUUGGCAUUGAUGUACACAGGGGUUUGCAAAUACGUCUAUGUUUUAAUAUAUACACGUGAAUAAGCGUUGCAUGUUUUGUAUAGUAUAGGACAUCUAUUAAUUAUAUUAAAUUUAUUGCUGUAAUAUAUGCUAAUAAGAGUAAAAUAAACAAGUCAACAAACAUAUAUCAA